CGGUAGGGCUAAAAAGUUUAAAUUAUUCACAAGAUGAAGACAUACAUACGCAGUGCAAAUUAUUACAACAAUAUUAUAUAUAGUCACUGGCAAUCACUAUAUGAAACUCCAUAGAUACAAAUAAACAAGACAAUAAAGUGUGCCAAAAGCACUAAGGCCCCCCCACAAACAUACUUGUGCACAUCUUUGUCAUUAUUCAUCAUCACCAUUUUCAGGAUUGAUCCUAUUAUUGUUGUUGUUGAUUGUGGAGGUAACGCAGCCAACCAUCGUCUCAGCCAUCAUCUUUUUCACCGACUUCUUUUUAGCAGGAAUCACGGUUGCAGGCUUCUUCUUUCCAUUACUUUCACUUCCUUGAGUACUUGAACUUCCCUUCUGGUCUGACAUUAUCUUCUGAUGAAUGCUCUCACUUCCUUUAUGUAUUUAUAUCAGUUGUUUUGAAUGUUUUAAUCAAAUCAAGCCUCUUUCAUCUCUU
rnacentral:lncRNA from 1 species